rnacentral:rRNA from 1 species
GACGAACGCUGGCGGCGUGCCUAAUACAUGCAAGUCGAGCGGAGUUGAUGAGAUGCUUGCAUCUCUGAUACUUAGCGGCGGACGGGUGAGUAACACGUGGGUAACCUGCCUAUAAGACUGGGAUAACAUUCGGAAACGAAUGCUAAUACCGGAUACGCGAUAUGGUCGCAUGACUGAAUCGGGAAAGAUGGAGCAAUCUAUCACUUAUAGAUGGACCCGCGGCGCAUUAGCUAGUUGGUGAGGUAACGGCUCACCAAGGCGACGAUGCGUAGCCGACCUGAGAGGGUGAUCGGCCACACUGGGACUGAGACACGGCCCAGACUCCUACGGGUGCAG